GCACUUCUAUGGGCAGCAUUGGUACUUGUACCAGAUGGCGACCGGCGCACGGGUGCGUAACGCGUAUGCAACCUGCCUUAUACAGGAGGAUAGCCCAUGGAAACGUGGAUUAAUACUCCAUAGUAUCGUUUUUUCGCAUGUGUAAAACGAUUAAAACUUCGGUGGUAUAAGAUGGGCAUGCGUAGGAUUAGGUAGUUGGUGAGGUAAUAGCUCACCAAGCCGACGAUCCUUAGGGGUUCUGAGAGGAUUAUC
rnacentral:rRNA from 1 species